UGCCAUCAAGGAAGCUAGGCGGGCGGCUGUUCGCGGUUUGAGUACCAGGCGGUUCCACCAUGUAAGUGUCAGUCCCCGCGUCCCGGCCUUGACUCCCCUCAGCGUUCCUGAAAGCACACCUUUCACAGCUGUGCUAAAGUUUGCAGCAGAAGAGUUUAAAGUUCCUGCUGCUACAAGUGCGAUUAUUACUAAUGAUGGAAUAGGAAUUAAUCCUGCACAGACUGCUGGAAACGUUUUUCUGAAGCACGGCUCAGAGCUGCGGCUCAUUCCUCGAGACCGAGUUGGGAGCUGCUAAUGUAUGCUUCUUGGAAUGCACAGCCUCUCAGAAUGAACACUGGGAUUUGUUGUUGCUGUACAAUUGAAAUCAGGCAUUCACAGCACAAUGGAAGCACCGAGAAUCAGCGGAACAGGGAACCUUGACGCUUGUCCCUUCCUGUUCAUUUUUUCAUGGGAAGAGAGAAUGCCUUUGAGUGGAGGGUACCACACCACAGGUCACACCGUGGUGACUGCUGCCUCACCAGAAGAGAGUACCUCUGUGACAAAUGGACUGUGCUUUAAAACAAAAACAGCAAAACUGGAGGAUAAGUCUGCUAAUUCUUUUCAGGAGCAUUUGGAAAAAUUAAAAUUCACAGAAUCAUAUGUAUCUUCUAAUUUUGAAAUUUAAAAGGAUAAUUGAUCAUAGAAGCAUUUGGCUUGACAGCAUCUCUUAGUUAGACUUUUAAAUUAUAUAAUUUGUGAUGAACUUAAUAGGUAUUUGAAUGAACAGUUAAAUUUAUAUAAAACCAAACAUUGAAUUAUGGAAUCUAACCAUUGUAAGUUGCUGUUGUGCAUCGAAUAGCUUCAACAAUAAUGACCCUGUGAAAUCAAGUGUCAUGGUGGGAGCUGACAGUACCACAGGAGCACCCUUAGCUAUAUUAUGAAUUCCUUGAUAAAGAAUAAAGCUUUAAGACAGAA
rnacentral:lncRNA from 1 species